rnacentral:rRNA from 1 species
AGUGAACGCUGGCGGUAGGCCUAACACAUGCAAGUCGAACGGCAGCACAGUAAGAGCUUGCUCUUACGGGUGGCGAGUGGCGGACGGGUGAGGAAUACAUCGGAAUCUACUUUUUCGUGGGGGAUAACGUAGGGAAACUUACGCUAAUACCGCAUACGACCUACGGGUGAAAGCAGGGGAUCUUCGGACCUUGCGCGAUUGAAUGAGCCGAUGUCGGAUUAGCUAGUUGGCGGGGUAAAGGCCCACCAAGGCGACGAUCCGUAGCUGGUCUGAGAGGAUGAUCAGCCACACUGAAACUGAGACACGGUCCAGACUCCUACGGGAGGCAGCAGUGGGGAAUAUUGGACAAUGGGCGCAAGCCUGAUCCAGCCAUACCGCGUGGGUGAAGAAGGCCUUCGGGUUGUAAAGCCCUUUGUUGGGAAAGAAAAGCAGCAGGUUAAUACCCCGCUGUUCUGACGGUACCCAAAGAAUAAGCACCGGCUAACUUCGUG